rnacentral:rRNA from 1 species
UACGUAGGCAGCGAGCGUUGUUCGGAGUUACUGGGCGUAAAGAGUGCGUAGGCGGUUUUCUAAGUUUGGUGUGAAAUCUCCCGGCUUAACUGGGAGGGUGCGCCGAAAACUGGAAGGCUUGAGUAUGGGAGAGGUAAGCGGAAUUCCUGGUGUAGCGGUGAAAUGCGUAGAUAUCAGGAGGAACACCGGUGGUGUAGACGGCUUUCUGGACCGUAACUGACGCUGAGACACGAAAGCGUGGGUAGCAAACAGG